rnacentral:misc_RNA from 2 species
AACGCACAUUGCGCCCAUUGGUAUUCCGAUGGGCAUGCCUGUUCGAGCGUCAUUUAUAAACCAUCAGGACCCCCUUUCGUUAGGGGGACCUGGCCUUGGGCGAUUCGCCCCGUAACAGGGACGCGCCCGAAAAACCCCGGCGACGGUACGGAAGCCUCAAGCGCAUCGGAAACCCUUCGUUUGUCAGGCGGCCCUGCCAUCAGCCCCCCAGAAAAUCAAAAUAACCUCAAGGUUGACCUCGGAUCAGGUAGGAAUACCCGCUGAACUUAA